rnacentral:rRNA from 1 species
AUUGAACGCUGGCGGCAGGCCUAACACAUGCAAGUCGAACGAGUGGCGGACAGGUGAGUAAUGUCUGGGAAACUGCCCGAUCGAGGGGGAUAACUACUGGAAACGGUAGCUAAUACCGCAUACUAUCGGAUGAACCCAUAUGGGAUUAGCUAGUAGGUGGGGUAAAGGCUCACCUAGGCGACGAGCCCUAGCUGGUCUGAGAGGAUGACAAGCCACAAUGUGACGGAGACACGGUCCAGACGCCUAAGGGAGGCAGAAGUGGGGAAUAUUGCACAAUGGGCGCAAGCCUGAUGCAGCCAUGCCGCGUGUAUGAAGAAGGCCUUAGGGUUGUAAAGUACUUUCAGCGGGGAGGCGUUACCCGCAGAAGAAGCACCGGCUAACUCCGGGCCAGCAGCCGCGGUAAUAC